GCAGCCUUAUAGAUGCAGGAACAGCUGCUGGGCUCUGUCUGUGACAAUGGGGCAAAGAGCAAGUGGCUAUUUCUAUACUCAGUUUUCAGAGCCAGUAAGCACUAAGAAUGGUAUAUAGCCUGACACUU